rnacentral:rRNA from 1 species
GUUAAAGGUACCCGUACCGCAAACCGACACAGGUGGGUGAGGAGAGUAUCCUAAGGCCAGCGAGAGAACUGUUGUUAAGGAACUCGGCAAAAUGGCCCCGUAACUUAGGGAUAAGGGGUGCCACCAUCAGGUGGCCGCAGAGAAUAGGCCCAAGCGACUGUUUACCAAAAACAUAGGUUUCUGCUAAGUCGCAAGACGAUGUAUAGGAGCUGACGCCUGCCC